CUCUGUCAGUACAUGAUUGACAUGAAGUUAGACACCCCCCUUUGCCCUGAUUGGUGCAUCUGAGCAGGGAGCGGUGGAUUUUUGCAAAUCGCAAUACAGG